CAGUCGCCGCGGUAACACGAAGGGUGCAAGCGUUAAUCGGAAUUACUGGGCGUAAAGCGUGCGUAGGCGGUUUGUUAAGUCUGCUGUGAAAUCCCCGGGCUCAACCUGGGAAUGGCAGUGGAUACUGGCAAGCUAGAGUGUGUCAGAGGAUGGUGGAAUUCCCGGUGUAGCGGUGAAAUGCGUAGAGAUCGGGAGGAACAUCAGUGGCGAAGGCGGCCAUCUGGGACAACACUGACGCUGAGGCACGAAAGCGUGGGGAGCAAACAGGAUUAGAUACCCCAGUAGUCCCUGUCUCUUAUAA
rnacentral:rRNA from 1 species